UGAGAGUGUCAGAAGCAGUGGAGUCAACACUGCUGCAGUCACUGGUCCUUAUUAUGUUGUUGGGUUAAAAAUCCGAUUAAAAUCAUUGAUUCAGCCAUCAGACUUGGACAUCCAGGAUUUAUUGACGACGUUCCUAAAACGGCAGGGAUUGCCGCCUCAGUUUUCUCUGAAGAUCCAUCCUUGAAACCAGUGGAUGAAAGACAAGGAGUGCUUGGAGUUGGCAGCAGCGUGGCUAUCCAGACGGUGUUGGGGCUGGUGACCGGGCCGCUCACCUGCUCCUCACAUUAUCAGUUGUGUGUUUUUGAUGGUAUUUUCUCUUGCUUUGCAUAUUUUCUGAAUUGCAUGUUUGAUUUUUAUUUCCAUUCUUUGGUCUCAGUGUGUGGGGCACCGGAGUCGAUGACUCCCCCCCCCCCCCUUCUUGGCCCGCUGCAGUCCAACUAAUUAUUAGAGUUAAUCGGAUUUGCUUUGUAUGAAUGUUAUAUUUUAAGAAAAAUGUUUAAAUAAAUGUACUCUGAGUGAA